GCUGGGAGCUUCUUCUUCUUUUGUAG
rnacentral:piRNA from 1 species